GUCGACUCAAUGUGAAAAUCACAAGUAGUUUCAAGUGUUUUUACAGUCAAACUGUUUUUAUUCACUUAUACAAAUAAUCCAGGGGUGCAUAUUGAGGGUUGACAUUUGGCUUCCGCCGACUCGUCUGACUCGCGUGGCUAAAAGGCAUAGCAAUCACUUCGAACAAACGAACAAUCGGUUACAAAAUUCACCACCCCCAAGGAUGGAAGAAUUCAAUUUGAAUUCUGGGGGUUACCCAGUGAAGAAUUCAAUAUUAUUUCUCUAGAUGCCAAGCACUGUUGAGAAUUCUGCCUGCCUACUUAUAUAAAACUAAAGCACGUAAGGCAACAGAAAAAUAAAAAAAGUGAAAAUAAUCGAAAAUAGAGCUAAACCGAAAAAUAAUUAAACAAAACGGAAAGACAAACCUGAAUACGUGCCUCUGGCAAACCAAUUUUUUCUGCAAGCCUCUCCCGUGCGAAAACAUCCGGAUAAUGCGUCCGUUCGAAUUCUAUCGUAAAUAGAAAAAGUAUAAAAGUUAAGCAAAUAUAUGCAAAUUUUUGUGUGCCUAUAACAUAUAUACAGAGUUAUCUAUUCGAGAUCAAUAACCUUUUUCCAAGCUGUCUAUUUGCUCGUUUGUAAAUGAAGUCCGAUUUCGCUGUAAUUUACGUUUCAGUCGUAGACGCAUUUGCGAGUCCUCGUCGCCGGAAGAAUUGUGAUCAGAAUUGCCAUCUGAUGUACUCUCAUGUGAAUUCGGAUGCGACAGAUCACCUGGAUAGAGGUCUGAAAUGGAACAUACAACGAUUCAAUUUUACUAUGUGAACAUAUUAAUGUAAUACGAUUUGCAAGCACAGUCACAUACCAUACUAUAAAGUCACCUUUAAAAAUAA